rnacentral:rRNA from 1 species
GUCUACGGCCACAGCACCCUGAACGCGCCCGAUCUCGUCUGACCUCGGGAGCUAAGUAGGGUCAGGUCUGGUUAGUACUUGGACGGGAGAUUGACCUCAGACUUUGAGAUU